CUCUAAGGGGGCUCCAUUCCCACAUCAAUGGCCACAAGUGGCCUCUAAGAUCAAGGGGGCUCCAUUUCUGUACCAAUGGCCACAAGUGGCCUCCAGGUUCAAGGGGGCUCCAUUUCCACACCAAUGGCCACAAGUGGCCUCUAAGAUCAAGGGGGCUCCAUUUCUGUACCAAUGGCCACAAGUGGCCUCCAGGUUCAAGGGGGCUCCAUUUCUGUACCAAUGGCCACAAGUGGCCUCUAAGGGGGCUCCAUUUCUGUAUCAAUGGCCACAAGUGGCCUCCAGGUUCAAGGGGGCUCCAUUUCCACACCAAUGGCCACAAGUGGCCUCUAAGGGGACUCCAUUUCCAUAUCAAUGGCCACAAGUGGCCUCUAAGUUCAAGGGGGCUCCAUUUCUGUACCAAUGACCACAAGUGGCCUCUAAGGGGACUCCAUUUCUGUACCAAUGGCCACAAGUGGCCUCUAAGGGGGCUCCAUUUCCAUAUCAAUGGCCACAAGUGGCCUCUAAGUUCAAGGGGGGCUCCAUUUCCACAUCCAUGGCCACAAGUGGCCUCUAAGGGGGCUCCAUUUCUGUACCAAUGGCCACAAGUGGCCUCUAAGUUCAAGGGGGCUCCAUUCCCACAUCAAUGGCCACAAAUGGCCUCUAAGUUCAAGGGGGCUCCAUUUCCAUAUCAAUGGCCACAAGUGGCCUCUAAGGGGACUCCAUU